rnacentral:lncRNA from 1 species
AUGAAAUGUCUUCUUCUGGCUGGCCUUUUGAUUAUGGCCACUGCUUUGCCCAUCCCUCUUGAACAAUCUGGAGAAAGUUCCAGUGCUCAGAGAUUUAACACUUACCCACCCCAAGGAGCAACAUUUUCCCCUCAGAUCCCACUUGCCCCACCUGUACAACUGCCCCUGGUCCUGACACUUAAUGAUCUCAUAGCGUUAAUCAUUUCUAUCUUGAACCAACUUGGGAAAUAAU